UUCUGUUUUGAACACACGUAUGUAUAUAUAUUAUAUAAAUAUGCAAUUAGGUUUUUUUUUAAUUAUUUCGUUUCUUUUUACGAAUAAGUUAUCAUGGAGAUUGCACAUAACUGUGCAUUCGCAGAUGUAUAUACAUGAUAGAAGGGGAACUUGGGUAAAGUUAAGUACAAUGACCCAAUGAACCGGUAUUCACAUUCGCCAACUAAACUGGUUCUAGCCGGUUGAAUCGACUAGAAUAGAGAAGUCGAUGGACCGGAGUUAACCGGUUACUUAGCUGCGAACUCGGGACCUCAACUGAUAACUUAAGAGGAAAUAAAAAAUUG